rnacentral:rRNA from 1 species
GAUGAACGCUAGCGAUAGGCCUAACACAUGCAAGUCGAGGGGCAUCACAUGAAGUAGCAAUACGGAUGGUGGCGACCGGCGCACGGGUGAGUAACACGUAUGCAACCUGCCUUCAACAAGGGGAUAACCCGUUGAAAGACGGACUAAUACCCUAUAACACAGGGGUCCCGCAUGGGAAUAUUUGUUAAAGGACAACCGGUUGAAGAUGGGCAUGCGUUCCAUUAGCUAGUUGGCGGGGUAACGGCCCACCAAGGCAACGAUGGAUAGGGGGAACUGAGAGGUUUAUCCCCCACACUGGUACUGAGACACGGACCAGACUCCUACGGGAGGCAGCAGUGAGGAAUAUUGGUCAAUGGACGCAAGUCUGAACCAGCCACGUCGCGUGAAGGAAGACGGCCCUACGGGUUGUAAACUUCUUUUGUAAGGGAAUAAAGUGUAGUACGCGUACUAUUUUGCAUGUACCUUACGAAUAAGGAUCGGCUAACUCCGUGCCAGCAGCCGCGGU